rnacentral:misc_RNA from 1 species
GGUAGAUGUUGUACUGCGCUCGCUCACUCCACAGGAUCUUUCUCAUGGCUCCCAAGCCCAAACCCCACCGUCUCCAUCCAGGGACUGCGUUACAGAGCUCGGCGAAGAGAGUAAGAACAAUGAGCACAGAGUCUUCUUUCAAGGAUGCCUUUGGAAAAUACGCAGAAUAUCUCAAUGACCUUGUAAAUUUCUUUCUUUAUUCUUCUUUAUUACCGUUGUUAUUGUUAGAAUUUGAAACUUAUAAGAAUAAUUUUGACCAUGAUGGUGGAAGUGAAAAUGUGUGCCAUGGACUAAGGGUCUGAAUUUUAACCGCUAAUCUCUCUUGUUUGGCCAAUUCAAUCUUGAAGAGCAACAACAAUGGGAGUGGAUGUUAGUUUAGUCUGUGUAGAGGUUCUCGAAGAUAUAUGCCGAUUAAUGAUUUUGGCGAGUUGAAUUUGCUUUUUGGGUUAGUCAGCUGUGACUAAUGCUGUAUUUGUCUUUGUUGAACUUGAACAUUUGUCUCCAUUUUCAACUGUAAUCCUUUUUCUAUGUGAUUGCUUCAAUCCUGUCAUUGUGGGUUGGCAAGCCCAGUAACUGAAUCUUCCCAAUGGAACCUCAAAGUUCAUUUAUUUUGAUCUCAAGUUGAAGCCUCCUAUGGACCUACAUUGAAAACCAAACCUAAUCAAUAAAAGAAUACUUCUAAUGAAAUUAUCUUGUUAUAAUGCCUAAGUCAUGGUACAUCACAUGCCAUCAAAAAGAAAUCAAAGUUUUGCUUUUGUCAAGGAAUCAGUUUUGAAGCUUGAGACAAAAUUGGAAGUAAAUUUUAAAUUCAAUGAUCCAGUUGCAUGAAAUAAAACAGUGGGGACUACACUAGAAAGAAAUAUAAUCGCAGAGACUAGGUGUAAUACUUGGCCAAAGAUGCCUGAUACAAUGAAUGGGAAGUGGGUAGUGGGAAGUGUAAAAGAUUUUACUAUAUGGAAAUGCUUUCUGAAAUAUUUAUAUUAUUUUGAGCCUGCAUGAAACUACUUAUAUUGGUGGUUUGAUUCCUCUCUUAUCAUAAAUUAAUAAUCAUUGAAACUAUGUCAUGCUCGCAACUCAAUUUAUGUAUUCUUGUAGAAUGACAAACGGGAAAGAGUAGUUAAAGCUAGUCGUGAUGUCACCAUGAACAGCAAAAAGGUCAUAUUUCAAGUUCACAGAAUCAGUAAAUAUAACAAAGAAGAAGUUCUUGAGAAGGCAGAAAAGGAUUUAGCAGCUGUGACAGAUCAGUAUAUGUCCCGAUUAGUCAAAGAACUGCAAGGCACUGAUUUUUGGAAGCUAAGACGAGCUUACUCUCCUGGGGUGCAAGAAUACGUUGAAGCUGCAACAUUCUGUAAAUUCUGCCGAACAGGGACUCUUUUGAACCUGGAUGAGAUCAAUGCUAGUCUAUUGCCACUUAGUGAUCCAUCUCUUGAGCCUUUGCAGUUAAACAUCCUUGACUAUCUUUUGGGGCUUGCAGAUUUAACAGGAGAGCUGAUGCGGCUAGCAAUUGGUCGAAUUUCAGAUGGUGAGCCUGAAUUUGCUGAGAGGAUAUGUAAGUUUGUACGUGAAAUCUACAGGGAGUUGAGUCUCAUUGUCCCACAUAUGGAUGAUAGUUCUGACAUGAAAACAAAGAUGGAUACAAUGCUUCAAAGCAUGCUGAAAAUAGAGAAUGCUUGCUUUAGUGUCCAUGUGAGAGGAUCAGAAUACAUGCCACUGCUUGGAUCUAGCGAGCCGAGUUCCUUUUUGUUGGGGGUGUCUGACAUUGAAUUAUGAAGUGAUUUCAUCUCUAAUUGUCAGGGAGUUGUCCUUGUCUGGAGGCAUUUAGAAGAGACAGAUUUUCUUGGUGAUAAAAAGAAAUAGUUUUGGAAAACUUAGAAGUGAGCCCUUUGCCAAUGCAAACUCCUCUUUAGAAAAGUCACUUGCUUUGUUCAUUUUUGGAAAUAUUUUGUAAAAUCUGUUGAUGCUUACCUUCAGAAAAUAGAAUUUGCUCCUUAAAAGCUUUUCUCCAGUCUUUCAUAAGCUGUAGAAAUUGUGCAUUUGUGCUACUAUCCUUUCAGUUUCAAGGAAUGAAAGCCUUCCAUAGAGUUGUCAACUUGAGCCUCAAGUGGAAUGUUAAUGAUGCUGCCUCUUCUUCAUUCCAAAAUUUCUUCUGUAUUUCCAAUGGUACUAGUAAUUCUACAUCAUUGGGCUCAAUACCGUUUAAUUCUUACAUUGAUGAUUCUUUUUCUGUUUUGUUACAAUAUGGUUAUUCAGCUCGAUUCAAAAACCAUGCACAGCCCUACUUGAAACCAACCUUUGGUUGAUUUUCUUUGUCAAGCAAUUUUCUUGGAUCAUCGUCGGUUGCUGCUUUACUGAGGCAGCAGUGACAACAGCAAAGCAGCUUCCUCGUCUUUUAAGGUUUGGCCAAAUUAAUAACUUAAUUUUUAUAUUUUUAAAAUUAAAUAAUUUAAUUUCUCAUUUUUUAUUGUAUAUAAAUAUUAGUCUACUUAUUUAAUUUAUUGUUAAUUAUAAUAAAAAUAAUAAAAAUAUCUUUAUUAAUUAUGUCUUAGAUUUUGUUUUAUAAAUAAAAUAUUUUAUUGAUCGUUUUGGUCAGUA